rnacentral:lncRNA from 10 species
CGGCCAACUGCUGUGCUUUUUCAAAAAUGCCUUUGAGGGGCAAGAAAUAAAUAUCUAGACAUAGUUUUAAUGGGAUAUUCUUUAUCCCAUUCACUCACAGAAGUUCCUAUGCUCAGCUAAUAGAUUGUGAGCCACUUGAGGGCAGGGACAUUUUGUUUGACAUCUCUAGCUCCUUUUUUCUCUGAAUUCCUUCUUACUCUCCACGAUCAGGUUCAUGUUGCUUCUUGAAGGAAUCUUCAGCCGAGUUCUAAAUAAUUUUUUAAUUAGAAAAUUAGGUCAAACUAUUGCAAGAACAAAAAACCAAACACCAUAUGUUCUCACUCCUAGGUGGGAAUUUAACAAUGAGAACA